AACGCACCUUGCGCUCCUUGGUAUUCCGAGGAGCAUGCCUGUUUGAGUGUCAUGGAAUUCUCAACUCUAUUUGCUUUUGUGAAUAGAGCUUGGACUUGGAGGUUUAUUGCCGGUACACCUUUGAUCGGCUCCUCUUGAAUGCAUUAGCUCGAACCUUUGUGGAUCAGCUAUCGGUGUGAUAAUUGUCUACGCCGUUGCUGUGAAGCAUGUUAAUGGGAUCGGCUUCCAAUCGUCCUUUACUUGGGGACAAUGCCUUUGACCUUUGACCUCAAAUCAGGUAGGAUUACCCGCUGAACUUAA
rnacentral:misc_RNA from 1 species